UAUUAUUAAUAUACAAAAUUAUUACAACUUUAAUAAAAAAUGCUAAUUCAAAAUAUUUAUAAAUAUUAUGCUACUAUAUUACUGAAAUAUCACUAGACACUUUUUUUUUUUUUUUUUUUUUUUUUUUUUUUUUUUGGAUUCACCUCUUUUAAACAAAGCACAGUGUCUUCUUUUUAUAUGCCAGGGCUUUAUUAUUUGUGCCUUUUGAUUUUAAAACUUUGACUGUGAAACUGGAAUUCGAUGCAACAGCAGGACAGAAUUUAAAUUCAGCUGGACUCUGGUCAUUCUUCUAAUGGCUCUCUACAAAAGAAGCCACUUAAAAUGGACAUCAGGCAGCAGCACGAAAUGGAUGACAGCAGUUCUGCAGCCGUAUGAAUCUAUGCAUGCAAUUUCUUGAGCUACCAGAAUGCAUUAAAUCAACCAUUCUUUCAUUUCGAGAUCCAAUUUCUAUAUUGACACCCAUCGAGCGGGUGAAUAGAGUGUGCUAGUCAAUAAUACUUCACUAAAUGACGCGUACGUUCAGCGUGAUGGACUGCCAUUUUAUUCCCAUUUCUUCCCCAAGCAAACUUCUUUAAGCAUGUAGCGAUUAUGUUCUGCAGUAUUUGUGCUUUAAAUUACAGGUUGUUUUUGGUUGAGGCAUUCGUCAGUGUUUAUAUGCCCACAAUGAUAAAACCAAUCAUUUCUGGAAAGCUAUAUGCUCUGUGAGCUGUAUAAAUGGGGAAUAUGUACUGUGCCCUAUUCAUUGCGAUGCUGAUAACAUUCCACGCUUUACUUUGACCUUUUAUGACCUUUGCCUCAAUCUGAGUUUGAUGAAAUGAAAUUGUAGAUUGCUGAUUUUGUGUUGUUCGGUAGAUCGAUGGCAUUCAAACGCUCUGCACAAGUACAGGUUGCUUCAUCGGUGGUGCCACAAAGAGUGCCGUGUAUAUGUUGUUUUCUGGAUAUGUUUUCUGGAUUGUUCUGUUCACUUUCGUUUUUAUUGUGCUUUGGGUUGUGUUUUGCUUUGCUUUGUUUUGAUUUGAUUUCUGUUUUGUAUUUGUUUGUUUUUUUCUGUUCUGUGUUCUGUGUUGUGUUCUGUGUUCUGUGUUCUCUUUCCUGUUCUGUGUUCUGUGUUCACUCUGUGUUCUGUGUUCUGUGUUCUCUUUUCUGUUCUGUGUUCUCUUUUCUCUUCUGUGUUCUGUGUUCUGUGUUCUGUGUUCUCUUUUCUUUUCUGUGUUCUCUUUUCUGUUCUGUGUUCUGUGUUCUCUUUUCUGUUCUGUGUUCUGUGUUCUCUUCUGUGUUCUGUGUUCUCUUUUCUGUUCUGUGUUCUCCUUUCUGUUCUGUGUUCUGUGUUCUCUUUUCUGUUCUGUGUUCUGUGUUCUGUGUUCUGUUCUGUUUUGUUUUGUUUUGUGGUCUGUUCUGUCAUGUUUUUUCAAAGCAAACAGCACUGGUCCGUUUUGGUUAGUCCUGUUGUGGUGUUGUUAAGUGGACGUGUAUUUGUGGUUCUGUCCGAGCUUUUCCAAACAGAAGCUUUUGCUGAUGAAAUGAAUCUCUGCCAUCAGGGGGUCAGUGCAUAUAUUCGGUCUCCAGAAGAGAAGAGAAGAAAAGCCAUUAGGUUUCAUCUUCCGUCUUGAGUAGAGCGAGCUGGAGAGAUCUUUUUUCAUUAGAGCGGUGCAGAGCGAGAGAGACUGUCAGAGAAAAGAGAUGGAGAGAGAUGGGCUGGAGGGGCAGAAAGAGUGAUAGAGCAACGACGAGGAGGACGGGAGGGGUAAAAAGAGGUGAAUGAAUGAACACAGCACUGGGAUAAACGGAAAACUGCUUUGAAUGGAAUGUCAUCAGUACUAAGAGCUUUUCAAAGUAUAUCAAACAAUUUAGAUGGAGCACUGCUGUAUGCACACAACUUCCAUCUCCAUAACUGCGUUUGUGCUUCUGAUGAAGUAUAAAUACUGUAUAUAGACCAGCAGCCUUUACUGGUAAUGCAGGUUCAUUUAAGACUUAAUAAGCAAACAAAGUUGAAGAUACAUGAAGUAACCAGAGUAUUACUAGUUUUAAACAUUAAAGUCAUUAAAACUUAAGAUCAUACGAUGCAACCUUAUGUUGCAUCGUAUGAUCUUAUGAAUCAAUUUGUAACCACAGUUGUAAUGCAUUGUAACACCUUUUGAAAGUAUAAUGCAUUAAAACACAUGACAAACAAAUCUUCAAAUAGUAUAACACAUUUUUAUGAACAGGUGCUGUAUAAUGCAUUACAAUGUACAUUUUGAAUACUUUUAUAAUGCAUUAUACAUUAAGGCUUUAAGUAAAGAGUUAUGUCAUGUAAUACUUUCAGUACAAUAAAAGCAAGAAAGGAUCACUAAUUGCA
ensembl:lncRNA